GCCUGAGGGUAGAGGAGAUCGGCCAAGGGCCCUUCCGCAACCUGAACCACCAAGAAGGGAGGAGCAGCCCAGAGAUCGGCCUCCUAUCGGGACCAUCGACUCCAUCGCCGGAGGGCCUCAAGGAGGAGUAAACCUCUCGCAACCGUGGGACUCGAGAAACCUGUAAAUGUAUCGCUUACGAUUUCACCUUGAAUCUAAAUUCCUUUCUACUUGACAUGCUCUUCCCAUUUGGCAUGGAUUUGUCAUGACUGGGUAUAACCCCUUCAAACGCCUAAAACAAAGUUAUGUUAGGAAUGGGAGGAGAACCUCAUCCUAACAUACCUAAAAUGAAAGUCCGAUUAUCUCGAGAUCAGAUUGGGGGAGAGGCCUUACAAUGCCCU
rnacentral:lncRNA from 1 species